GAUGAACGCUGGCGGCGUGCCUAAUACAUGCAAGUCGAGCGAACAGACGAGGAGCUUGCUCCUCUGACGUUAGCGGCGGACGGGUGAGUAACACGUGGAUAACCUACCUAUAAGACUGGGAUAACUUCGGGAAACCGGAGCUAAUACCGGAUAAUAUAUUGAACCGCAUGGUUCAAUAGUGAAAGACGGUUUUGCUGUCACUUAUAGAUGGAUCCGCGCCGCAUUAGCUAGUUGGUAAGGUAGCGGCUUACCAAGGCAACGAUGCGUAGCCGACCUGAGAGGGGGAUCGGCCACACUGGAACUGAGACACGGUCCAGACUCCUACGGGAGGCAGCAGUAGGGAAUCUUCCGCAAUGGGCGAAAGCCUGACGGAGCAACGCCGCGUGAGUGAUGAAGGUCUUCGGAUCGUAAAACUCUGUUAUUAGGGAAGAACAAAUGUGUAAGUAACUAUGCACGUCUUGACGGUACCUAAUCAGAAAGCCACGGCUAACUACGU
rnacentral:rRNA from 1 species